rnacentral:lncRNA from 1 species
CGGGGCGGCAAAACGUCCGCCCGGGCCCGAGGCGGGCGGAGGCAGCUGUGGUUACGUGCGGGGGGCCGGUGACGCAGUCGCGGGGCGCUGGGACGCGGCUUGCGGAGCCGGCCGGCGAGCGCAGGCCCCAGGCUCGGGCGCGGCGGCGGGACAGCACCUACCUUCCCGGCUUCGGGUCCGGGAGUGCGGGGCGCGGAGCCGCCGGAGCGCUGCCUCCCUCCUUCCUCCUCCCCUCGCCCCCGCCCCGCGGCGCGACACACAAUACUCGCCGGAAGCGGAAGCCGCGCCGAGGCUCGUGUCAGUGGAAGCUGGGGUGUCGGCGGGCGGCCGCGGCCGGGUCUAGUGGUGCCUGCGGAAGAAGGAGGAGGAGGGCUGGCGAUGAGAAGCAGCAGGGGGAAUCAAGGGCAAGAAGGGACCCAGAGGGGCAGGUGGCUGAGAUGCUGGCGUCCAGGUGACCCGAGGAAUCCUCUGGAGAUACAGGCCCGCGCAUGCGCGUGCUCGAGCGCUGAAGCCCAUUGCCCGCAGGGCGCUGGACUGGCGCCCCGGCCGGCGAGGCUGUCUAGUCCAGGCUCCAGGCCCCGGCUCUGGCCAGGCGCCGCCGCCUCCCGGUGCAGCUGAAAGUCGACGAAGAGGGCGGGGCGGGGGCGGCUUGUGGACUUCCACACUUUUCCUCUCUUCGGGCCAGUCUGGGGAGAGGGUGGCUAGCUGUGGCGGCGGCCAAUUACGUGGCGGACCUGCGGGGCUAAGCUGGCACGUCACUUCCGACUAGUGGAGUUUUUAGCCUUUUAACAUUCAAGGAUUAGGUAAAAGUCUUGCAGUGAAAAACCCGAGGACCCUUACCGCAAGUGUCUUUUGCUCCCAGCUACUGAUACUGGAUUCCACUCGUGAUUCUCCCUUUCUUAGCGCAUUCAUGAUAUAGACAUCAGUCUCUGAGCUGGAGGAGGACAAAGGCAGCGGUCCUGUGAAUUCUAUGCUCUAGCUUGGGUUAAGGGAUUUGGAAUUGCACUUGUUUCAGAGAGCUCCCUCUUUGCCCACUAGCAGGGCAUUAGCUGGUGCUGAAGACAGUGGCUGCUUGGCGAGCCUGGAUCUCCAAGUGACCCCCUCAGCAACUCCUGAUGAACAGGACUGAAGCCAAUAUUAAAGCAAGUCAACCAAAGGUUCUCUGGUGUAGACAAGACAGCAAAAGGACAGACUACCUUGUGGAACCUAGCAUUGUUCUCCUUCUGCAGCACUAAGUAACAUUUGUUCUCCGUUAAGAUCUUUGCAAACCACACACAAGAAUUGCUGGUCAUCCUGCCAAUAGAUGCUGCUCACAGAACCAAAUUUCCUGUGCUGAAUUGUCACUCAUGGGCUUGAGAGUAGGAGACUGGAGACCAAGGUGGCUAGAAUCCAGUUGGGCCUGAUGUCUCCCUGUUGAAAGGGCUCCUUGUGGAAUGAAUAGCACAUGGCUCCUGUGGUGGAUCUGAUAGUGGCAUAGCACCAAGUGAUGCAGGCCUGCCAGGGGCCACAGACACAGAAGAUGCUCCCGGGGUCCCCCAUGUACUCCAGACACACUGCAGGCCACCUCUCCCAGCAGGUUGCCAGUCAUGGGCCCCAUCAUCAUGACUUCUGUCCAAGGUACUGUGUGCAGAAAUGUGAUUGAGAUUCAAGUCAGGGCCUCUCUGCCCUUUUCCCUCCAGAAACAAAACCAAGAUAAUUUAUCCUGAACACGGUGAAAAAAGGAAGGGAGGGAGGAGAAAAAGUCCGGGUCUCACCUGGGAUUCUCUGUCUCCUGCAACAUGAAGGAUUUAGCCUGGGAGGAGGUGGUGAGAACUCUGGGAGAGAAAAAAGAAGGAAAGAAUAGUUUUACCCAUGCUGAAGUUAAUUUAAACCUUCACCUAGAGAAGCAAAAAAAAAAAACCCACACUUUCCCAUUUUGUGCCUCCCUUCCUAGAGUUUUAGCCAAAGGUUUAGCUAAGUAAUUGGUUUUACCAGCGCACUCACUCCUCCUAUCCCAAGUCUGUUUGACUCCCUCCCCAUCAUCCUCCUCACCUCUUUUCAGGCAGGGUGGGGAUAGCAGCAGGAGGAGAUUUUGGGAGCCUGGCAACUCCUGCAAGGACCGCAGGACAGCCCCUCUGUGGGGAUGCGUGGUGCCCCAUCUGCCGCCCUUCUGAAGAAUGCACUGCCUUCACUUUUUACUGUGUUAGAGUCCAUCCAGACUGUUCUAUCCAAAAAAGUUUCUUUUUCCCCCACAGGCAAUCAGGAAAUGAUUCCUUUCCCGACUGCUUCUGUCUAGUGCCUGGGAAUCUUGAGUCAAUCCCUCAGUAAGUCAGUGACUAGGGAAAUCCCUCUCUGAGCCUCCCAGUUCAUGUUGCUUAGGGAACCUGAUAUUUUCGUGAAACCUGCCUACACAUGGGCAGCCCAACAGCAGAACAAAUGGUGGUGACCAAAGUGAACAAAGAAGUAUAGUUGUGCCAGCUUCGUAGUUGCCCAUGUGGACAAGUCAGCAGGAUCAGGACACGAGGAAGAGUAAAUGUGAGACAGUCAAUGUGACUUCUGCGAUAAACAGAUUUUUAAACCCCGAAAUUUUGCAAAAUUUUGGUGAAACCUGAACUUUCUUCGUUGCAUAUACUGGCACUAUCUGUACCAUCAUACAACUGUCUCACAUUAAAGCUAUUUUUCUUGGGCACUGAUGAGUAAGGUUGGUAUAAGUUCCUCAGAUCAACAAAAACCCAUUUUCCUGUAAGUCUUACAUUUAGUAUUUAAGGAACUAAAACUUAAAUACAUUUUGUGAAAUGGUUGACACUUCACUGAUAAUGAUUUAUUGCUUGGAUUAAUAAAUUUUCCAAAAGUUGUCUUAUGUAGAAUAUGGUUUGCAACCAGCAGAACCAUUAAUCUAUACUGCAAUGAUAUGCACUAUGUAUAAUUGUUUAAAAGCCUCUACUUAAUGAUGUAAAAUGCUCUAUUUAAUUACACAUUUGGGUAAACUGUAUACUAACAUCUGAUGGCAUUUUUCCACUGUUUGUUGCUUUUUUCAAAUACUUUAUUGUACAAAGCUGUUCUUAAUAUUUUUCAAGUUUUUUUCUUUGAAUUUUGCUAAUGUUUUCCUUGAAUUAUGAGCACUGACAGAAUGUGCUUAGCACUUUUGGCUAUUCACACAGCUUUUGAGCAUGAUUUGCAUCCAAUAUUUACAUUGCUAGCAAUAAUAAGCCAUCUGUGAGUUUUGUCAAAAGUUAUUGGGGAUUUUUUAAAUUUUAGAAAUGCAAAUUAUUGUUUCUUUGAACUAACUCUUAUGCAGUUGCAAAGGCAUUUCCAGUUGUUAUAGUUUGUGUACAAUAUCAGGUGUUCCAGAUUAUGAUUCAUUAUUAAUAUCAUUGCUUCCUUGUUCCCUCUGAGGUCCAGAAGAUUCAUGUUUACAAUAUUUAGAAACAAUGUUAAAAAGGUAUCCAAAGUUUGUCACUUUAUUAUUAGUUUGUUCUUAAUAUUCUGUUUAAGUUUUUGAAUUCAUAGAUAUCAAAACGCUGCACAAUUAUGAUUUCCACAGGAAUAACAACACACUAACAAUAAGAACCAAAAACAGCAAAUAGGCUGCCUACAAGUUUUGACAAUAUUAGGAUAAUGAUAAUGACAGUUUUUCUAAAUCUCACAGUAAAGAAUGCAGCAACCCAGCAACACUGCUACCUGUGGCCUCAGGCUGCAGUGUCAGCUCUUCCCUGGGUCUCCAGCCUGCCAGUCUAACCUGAAAAUUAUGUACUUGCCAGCCCCCACAGUCACGUGAGUGAACUGGCCCAGGCUGGUCACCAGGGUCAGUUUCUCUGUGUGUCAUUAAUUCAUUCAGUCUUCAGCAGUCUCUUUGGAGCUGAGAUGUACCUACCAUCUGCCUUUUGGGUGCUUAGGGUGGAGAACCAGAAAAGUAUAACCUAGUGUGUAUCCUCAAAGAGCUAACAAUAUGGGGUGGUACCUAUAGGUCUGGAAACACUUUACUGACUCUGUGAGGCAUACCAGGAGACGUCAGAGAACAGUCCCUCCUCAAAUGCCAAAUGAGAUGCAGAAGAAAUAGUUUGCUCAAGUUCAUGGGCCAGAUAUCCCAGUGGUCAGGGAGUUUCAUGAAUGAGAUGGAACUUUGCAUGGAACCCGAGGGAUGUGUAUGAUUUGAGUAGAUGAAGAAUAUGAGACUUUCCAAGCAGCUAGAAGUUAGGGAGCAGCAAGAUGUGUGGUGGGAUUGAGCACAGUUGGUUCAGAGGAUAGACUGCAGUUUUAAUAAUUUGUAGUAAAUAUCUCCCAACUGUUUGGCACUAUUGGAGCAAGUUCUUGAAUGCCAAAUGAAGGCAUAAAUCAGUAAGAGGCAUAAUAAAAGGCUGAGCAGUGCUUGGCUUUUUACGAACUGAUCCUGAUAGGAGCAGCUGUUCAACAAAGUUGCCAGGUCACCGUUACAUAGUCCCUGCCUUCUAGGGGCUCACUGCCUACUGGGAGAGACAGUCUGAAAGUUGGUGGAGCAUGUAACUGUUGGAUGAGGAGUUUGAGCCUGUGGACUGUGGGACCCCCGAGGAGGGUGUGGCUACUCUAGGCAGAACAAUCCCACAGUUUAUUUAUAUUUAACCUUGAAAUUCAUUAGAGGAUUUUUCAGCAGAGGUUUGGUACUUGUUAAUGUUAAGGUUUGCAUUCUCUAGAACCUCAAGGAAAGCUGUACCGUGCAUAAUGUACCCUCUUAUGUUAAUGUUGUGUACUGUGAUCCUGUUUCAGGGACUUGCACUUAGGAAUCUGUUACAGUGAGCACAGAAGCAGACCUGUGGGCUCAUAGUCUUCACCCCCCACCCAUAUAUACAAGAUGAACAGAGUGGAGGUUAAACAACUUGACUAAACAACACAGUUCAUGGUAAAGCCCAAGACUGUACCUGCCCAUCCACUGCCUUUUCCAUGUAUCCUGGAACUGAGCAUAGACCUCUUCCCAGGCAGAGCUGACAGCAAGUAAAGGAGAUCAUAAUCAGGGGACCAAACAACUUUGUCUAAAGUGUGAAUGUCACCUAAGGAGAAGCUGUGAGAUCAGAAGGGUGGGGCAGAGGAGCAGACACCAUGAGAGAGAGUCCUUGGGGGUACAUCUGCCAGACUGACACUGUCUGGCCUGGGCAGUGGAGGGGCUAGCAGGAACCACAGGUACUGGUGGUGUGGCUACUACCGUUACAACUGCCUGUGCUUGGACAUGGACCCUCUGCAAUAUGCGGCAGUUUCAUUCAUUGCCCCCUACAUUCUACACCAAGUAGAAAUGGAAGGCAAUUGGAUACUUCACAGACAAGAUCUAAGUGGAGAAGGAAUGCGUCCUGUGGCUGCAGAGAUCCUUGGAGCUUGGAGGGGAGAGCUUGAGCCCCACUGAUGAUGACCUCCCACAGCUCGCCAACUCAGCCCUCCCUAAGUCCCCAUCGGGGGCCAAUUCUCACUCUGGGGUUGGGGGGACUCCACCAUAGCUCAUCCAUCAUAGGGAUGUUGGUAUCUACUGUGGGUUGGGUAGGGCCGAUGUGCUGAGGAUGGCUCCCCCACAAGCAAGAGAUGUGGAUUUGGGGAGCUUCCCAUCUUGUGUUGAAGGAACAUAACUCAGAAUAAUAAGAGCCAACUAUAACAAACCCACAGCCAACAUCAUACUGAAUGGGCAAAAGCUGCAGGCAUUCCCCUUGAAAAGUGGCACAGGAUAAGGAAGCCCUUUCUCACCACUCCUAUUCAAUAUAGUGUUGAAAGUCCUGAUCACAGCAGUCAGGCAACAGAAAUAAUAAAGGGCAUCCAAAUAGGAAGAGAGGAAGUCAAACUAUCCUUGUUUGCAGACAGUAUGAUUCUAUAUCUAGAAAACCCCAUAGCCUCAGCCCAAAAGGUCCUUCAUCUGAUAAUUUCAGCAAAGUUUCAGGAGACAAAAUCAGUGUACAAAAAUCACUAACAUUCCUAUACACAGUCGCCAAGCCAAGAGCCAAAUCAGGAGCACAAUCCCAUUCAUAAUUGCCACAAAAAAGAAUAAAAUACCCAGGAAUGCAGCUAACCAAGGAAGUAAAGGAUCUCUACAAUGAGAAUCACAAACGCUGCUCAAAGAAAUCAGAGAUGACACAAACAAAUGGAAAAACUUUCCAUGCUCAUGGCUAGGAAGAAUCAAUAUCAUUAAAGUGGCCAUACUACCCAAAGCAAUUUAUAGAUUCAAUGCUAUUCCUAUCAAACUAUCAAUUACAUUUUUCACAGAACUAGAAAAAACUUAAAAUUCAUAUGGAACCAAAAAGCCUGAGUAGUCAAGGCAAUCCUAAACAAAAAGAACAAAGGUGGAGGCAUCACAUUACCUAACUUCAAACUACAGGGCUACCAUGACCAAAACAGCAUGGUACUGGUACAAAAGCAGACACACAGACCAGUGGGACAGAAUAGAGAGCCCAAAAAUAAGGCCACAAACCUACAGCCAUCUGAUCUUCAACAAAGUUGACAAAAACAAGCAAUGGGGAAAGGUCUCCCUAUUCAAUAAAUGGUGCUGGGAUAACUGGCUGGCCAUAUGCAGAAGAUCGUAACUGGACCCCUUUUACUAUGUACAAAAAUUAAGAUGGUUUAAAGAGUUAAAACCCAAAAUUAUAAAAAUCCUGAAGAUAACUUAGGCAAUACCAUUCUGGACAUAGGAACUGGCAAAUAUUUCAUGAUGAAGACACCAAAAGCAAUUGUAACAAAAGCAAAAAUGGACAAAUUGGAUUUAAGAGCUUUUUCAUAGCAAAAUAAACAACAGGGCAGACAAUCUACCAAAUGACAGAAAAUUUUUGCAAACUAUGCAUCUGACAAGGGGCUAAUAUCUAGCAUCUAUAAGGAAUUUAAACACAGUUACAGG